UACGUAGGGUCCGAGCGUUGUCCGGAGUUACUGGGCGUAAAGCGCGCGCAGGCGGUCCGCGAGGUGUCACGUGAAAGCCCCGGGCUCAACUCGGGAGGGUCGUGGCAAACCGGCGGACUUGAGGCCGGUAGAGGUGGGUGGAACUCCUGGUGGAGUGGUGAAAUGCGUAGAGAUCAGGAAGAACACCCGUGGCGAAGGCGGCCCACUGGGCCGGAACUGACGCUGAGGCGCGAAGGCGUGGGGAGCGAACGGG
rnacentral:rRNA from 1 species